rnacentral:tRNA from 57 species
UUUAAACCCAGAGAAGAGUA